GACGAACGCUGGCGGCGUGCUUCAUACAUGCAAGUCGAACGGGACCCAAGCAGUGGCAACACUGCGGAAGAUCUAGUGGCGAACGGGUGAGUAACACGUGAGGAACCUAUCCCGGUCUCUGGAAUAACAGGUGGAAACACCUGCUAAUACCGGAUGCCGUCAUCACCUCUCCUGGGGAGAUGACGAAAGAUUUAUCGGAU
rnacentral:rRNA from 1 species